rnacentral:rRNA from 1 species
UAGGGAAUCUUCGGCAAUGGACGAAAGUCUGACCGAGCAACGCCGCGUGAGUGAAGAAGGUUUUCGGAUCGUAAAACUCUGUUGUUAGAGAAGAACAAGGACGUUAGUAACUGAACGUCCCCUGACGGUAUCUAACCAGAAAGCCACGGCUAACUACGUGCCAGCAGCCGCGGUAAUACGUAGGUGGCAAGCGUUGUCCGGAUUUAUUGGGCGUAAAGCGAGCGCAGGCGGUUUCUUAAGUCUGAUGUGAAAGCCCCCGGCUCAACCGGGGAGGGUUAUUGGAAACUGGGAGACUUGAGUGCAGAAGAGGAGAGUGGAAUUCCAUGUGUAGCGGUGAAAUGCGUAGAUAUAUGGAGGAACACCAGUGGUGAAGGCGGCUCUCUGGUCUGUAACUGACGCUGAGGCUCGAAAGCGUGGGGAGCAAACAGG